rnacentral:rRNA from 1 species
CACCUGAUCCCAUUCCGAACUCAGAAGUGAAACGAAAUAGCGCCGAUGGUAGUGUGGGGUUUCCCCAUGUGAGAGUAGGACAUCGCCAGGCU